rnacentral:rRNA from 1 species
GAUCCCUACGGGGGGCAGCAGUGGGGAAUAUUGCACAAUGGGGGAAACCCUGAUGCAGCGACGCCGCGUGAGUGAAGAAGUAUCUCGGUACGUAAAGCUCUAUCAGCAGGGAAGAAAAAAAGUCUUUGGCUUUGGACGGUACCUGACUAAGAAGCCCCGGCUAACUACGUGCCAGCAGCCGCGGUAAUACGUAGGGGGCAAGCGUUAUCCGGAUUUACUGGGUGUAAAGGGAGCGUAGACGGCAGCGCAAGUCUGGAGUGAACUGCCGGUGCUCAACCCCGGCACUGCUUUGGAAACUUAGCAGG